GAUGAACGCUGGCGGCGUGCCUAGUACAUGCAAGUCGAGCGAACGGACGGGAAGCUUGCUUCUCUGAUGUUAGCGGCGGACGGGUGAGUAACACGUGGAUAACCUACCUAUAAGACUGGGAUAACUUCGGGAAACCGGCGCUAAUACCGGGUAAUAUUUUGAACCGCAUGGUUCAAAAGUGAAAGACGGUCUUGCUGUCACUUAUAGAUGGAUCCGCGUUGCAUUAGCUAGUUGGUAAGUCAACGGCGUACCAAGGCAACGAUGCAUAGCCGACCUGAGAGGAUGAUCAGCCACACUGUAACUGAGACACGGUCCAGACUCCUACGGGAGGCAGCAGUAGGGAAUCUUCCGCAAUGGGCGAAAGCCUGACGGAGCAACGCCGCGUGAGGGAUGAAGAUCUUCGGAUCGUAAAACACUGUUAUUAGGGAAGAACAUAUGUGUAAGUAACUGUGCACAUCUUGACGGUACCUAAUCAGAAAGCCACGGCUAACUACGUG
rnacentral:rRNA from 1 species